AGCAGUCGCCGCGGUAAUACGGAGGGGGCUAGCGUUGUUCGGAAUUACUGGGCGUAAAGCGCACGUAGGCGGCUUUGUAAGUCAGAGGUGAAAGCCUGGAGCUCAACUCCAGAACUGCCUUUGAGACUGCAUCGCUUGAACGUCGGAGAGGUGAGUGGAGUUCCGAGUGUAGAGGUGAAAUUCGUAGAUAUUCGGAAGAACACCAGUGGCGAAGGCGGCUCACUGGACGACUGUUGACGCUGAGGUGCGAAAGCGUGGGGAGCAAACAGGAUUAGAUACCCGUGUAGUCCCUGUCUCUUAUAC
rnacentral:rRNA from 1 species